CACUCAUUUGCUUGAAGGUUAAAGACUACAUGAGACUUUGACAGAUGGCGGGAAACCCUCAUCCACUGGUACGAACCCGGUAGAGGAAUGUCUGCAACUAAGCCGAGGGCCACUGGAUAAGGGUUGUUGAUGGUAAAACAGGUAGAGGAAUGUCUGCAACUAAGCCGAGGGCCACUGGAUAAGGGUUGUUGAUGGUAAAACAGGUAGAGGAAUGUCUGCAACUAAGCCGAGGGCCACUGGAUAAGGGUUGUUGAUGGUAAAACAGGUAGAGGAAUGUCUGCAACUAAGCCGAGGGCCACUGGAUAAGGGUUGUUGAUGGUAAAACAGGUAGAGGAAUGUCUGCAACUAAGCCGAGGGCCACUGGAUAAGGGUUGUUGAUGGUAAAACAGGUAGAGGAAUGUCUGCAACUAAGCCGAGGGCCACUGGAUAAGGGUUGUUGAUGGUAAAACAGGUUAAAGACUACAUGAGACUUUGACAGAUGGCGGGAAACCCUCAUCCACUGGUACGAACCCGGUAAAUUGAUGGCUGUAAAACAGUGACCGCUGAUUCGCAUCGAGUUCUUUCUUGCAAAACGCAUGACCCCCCUUUUUUAUUGUCUAAAUCAUUGCGACUUGGAAUGCUCUUUAAGAAAAGGUAUGGUUAUGGGGGUCUC